AGUGAACGCUGGCGGCGUGCCUAAUACAUGCAAGUCGAACGGAGUGGCGCACGGGUGAGUAAUGUAUAGCUAAUCUGCCCUACACUAGAGGACAACAGUUGGAAAAGACUGCUAAUACUCUAUAGUGUAGGGUGAGGCUAUAUUGUAUCAGCUAGUUGGUGAGGUAAAGGCUCACCAAGGCUAUGACGCAUAACUGGUCUGAGAGGAUGAUCAGGCAAACUCGAACUGAGGCAGGGUACGGGCACCUACGAGAGGCAGCAGUAGGGUAAAUUGCUCAAUGGGGGAAUCCCAGAAGCGGCAGCGGCGGGUGGAGGAUGACACGUUUCGGGGCGUGAACUCCUUUUGUUAGGGAAGCGGUACCUACCGAAUAAGCACCGGCUAACUCCGUGCCAGCCGCCGCGGUAAUAC
rnacentral:rRNA from 1 species